UACGUAGGGUGCGAGCGUUGUCCGGAAUUAUUGGGCGUAAAGAGCUCGUAGGCGGUCUGUCGCGUCGGUCGUGAAAACCUGCAGCUUAACUGUGGGCGUGCGGUCGAUACGGGCAUGACUGGAGUUCGGCAGGGGAGACUGGAAUUCCUGGUGUAGCGGUGAAAUGCGUAGAUAUCUGGAGGAACACCGGUGGCGAAGGCGGCAUCCUGGACCGGCAUUGACGCUGAGGCGCGAAAGCUAGGGGAGCAAACGGG
rnacentral:rRNA from 1 species